rnacentral:tRNA from 1 species
GCCUGGGUGGCUUAGUUGGUUAAGCAGCUGCCUUUGACUCAGGUCAUGAUCCCAGCGUUGUGGGAUCAAGUCCCACAUCGGGCU